rnacentral:rRNA from 1 species
AGUGAACGCUGGCGGUAGGCCUAACACAUGCAAGUCGAACGGCAGCACAGUAAGAGCUUGCUCUUACGGGUGGCGAGUGGCGGACGGGUGAGGAAUACAUCGGAAUCUACUUUUUCGUGGGGGAUAACGUAGGGAAACUUACGCUAAUACCGCAUACGACCUACGGGUGAAAGCAGGGGAUCUUCGGACCUUUCGCGAUUGAUUGAGCCGAAGUCGCAUUAGCUAGUUGGCGGGGUAAAGGCCCACCAAGGCGACGAUCCGUAGCUGGUCUGAGAGGAUGAUCAGCCACACUGGAACUGAGACACGGUCCAGACUCCUACGGGAGGCAGCAGUGGGGAAUAUUGGACAAUGGGCGCAAGCCUGAUCCAGCCAUGCCGCGUGGGUGAAGAAGGCCUUCGGGUUGUAAAGCCCUUUUGUUGGGAAAGAAAAGCAGCAGGUUAAUACCCCGCUGUUCUGACGGUACCCAAAGAAUAAGCACCGGCUAACUUCGUG